GUACCCCUGGAGAUUCUGAUAA
rnacentral:miRNA from 1 species